UACGAAGGGUGCAAGCGUUACUCGGAAUUACUGGGCGUAAAGCGUGCGUAGGUGGUGAGUUAAGUCUGUCGUGAAAGCCCCGGGCUCAACCUGGGAACUGCGUUUGGUACUGGCAAGCUAGAGUACGGCAGAGGGGGGUGGAAUUCCACGUGUAGCAGUGAAAUGCGUAGAGAUGUGGAGGAACACCGAUGGCGAAGGCAGCCCCCUGGGCCGAUACUGACGCUCAGGCACGAAAGCGUGGGGAGCAAACAGG
rnacentral:rRNA from 1 species